rnacentral:rRNA from 1 species
UAACCUGGCGGCGUGCCUAACACAUGCAAGUCGAACGCCCUUGCUCUCGCAAGAGAGGCAGGGAGUGGCGGACGGGUGAGUAACACAUGGGUGACCUACCCCCCAGUGAGGAAUACCGGCGAGAAAUCGCCGACAAGACCGCAUAGGGUCUCUGUGGUCGAGCACAGAGAGCAAAGUCUGGCAACAGACGCUGAGGGAUGGGCCUGUGGCCGAUUAGCUAGUUGGGGGGGUAAGAGCCUCCCAAGGCGACGAUCGGUAGCUGGUCUGAGAGGACGAACAGCCACACUGGGAUUGAGAACGGCCCAGACUCCUACGGGGGGCAGCAGUGAGGAAUUUUCCGCAAUGGGGGCAACCCUGACGGAGCAACGCCGCGUGCAGGAAGACGCUUUUCGGAGUGUAAACUGCUUUUCUGUGGGACGAGCGUGGACGGUACCACAGGAAGAAGCCCCGGCUAACUACGUGCCAGCAGCCGCGGUAAUAC